rnacentral:lncRNA from 1 species
GGCCAACUGUGUUAGCUGCGUCCCCUAGAGUGAGUCUGGGAGGAGGUUGAUUGGCCAUCUCCUCAAGAUUUGGUUCAACAGUCUCAGGUGGAGUAACUUCUGGAGAAAGAGAUCUUUCACAAAAAGGGCGUCUCUUCCUCCUCUCGUAUGGUAGACCUUCUAGCAAAGGUUGUUGGUUUUUCCUGCUUCUAGUAUGUAUUAUCUCCUGCAUGCACAAGAAACGCACCCUAAAAGCACUUUUAAAGAAAAAGACAAAACGCAAUAAAAGGAAAAUAAAAACAAAAAUAAUUACAAUCAAGUCAAAUUCAACCAAUUCACACUACUAGAAAAAUAAACCUCAAGUCCC